AUGUGGGUUUGGGUUUGGCUGGCUAUCAUUCCGUUUUAUUCUUCACAUUUUCCCUUUUUGCUGCUUCAUCUUCUGCCAUUAACCGUUAACUCCAGCUGUGGCUCAGCUGCGCGUCACACUAAACUCUCUGCUUUAUUCUGUCCAGACAGCUACACCUCCAACACUUGGGUGCUGUCUCUGGCUCCGUCUCCCGGCAGCCUCCUCGCCAACAGGACGGCUCAUCUGGCCUGCGUGGUCCUCGGAGUCUCCAACCUCGUCCAAAUCUCCUGGAAUAUUUCUGGGGAGCUGCAGGAGCUAAGGGUCCCAUGGACACUGAAAGCAAAGGACGGCUCCUUCGUGUUCAUAAAUCACAUCAGCGUCCCCCUGGACACCUGGGCCAGCGGGAAGAUUUUCACCUGUGACGUCAAAUUCAACUCCUCUGGCAGGAGCGUGAAGAGAAUUGCCAGGUACCCGGAAGUCCCUCCCAGCUGGUGUCUGCCACAGACGGUGUGCUACGCCGUGGCAGCUUUCCUGGUGGGGUUGAUGCUGUCUCUGAGCCUGGCCUGGAGAUACGGCUCUUCCAAUCCAGAGCUGUAACACAGCAGCUGCUCUGGAUGCAGCCAGGCCCGGUGCUUGGACCCGCUAUCGCCCUGCUCCCAUCACUCGUUCGCUUUAUCACACGGGGCAAACUUCUGCCUGAAUUCAGCAGGUUCAACUCCCAUGGGAAUCUGCGGGUGAUGAUACAAACCGUGAUGUAUGUGACCUGGUGACAAAGGCCUGGUGAGCCUUUGGUGGUUAGUGCACAGUGAAGCGGCGAGUGGUGAGAUAAAGAGGAUCUGGAUAGAAAUGAUCUGAAACGUGGUGUGAACAAAACCUUCAGUUUACACCAAUGAGCCCUUCUCUCGGACUUCGAAAUCAGUGAACUGAGGAGACAGAAUUCCCAAGGCCCUUGUGGUUCUGGAUUGAGUCUUUUAUUCAGCAAAAGAGAGAACGCUGCAGACUCAGAGGAGUGAACGGGAACGUUAAACACGGUCUCCCUCCUUUUCCAGGCCGAGGACUGAACUUUUAA